AGUGAACGCUGGCGGUAUGCCUAACACAUGCAAGUCGAACGGCAGCACAGUAAGAACUUGCUCUUACGGGUGGCGAGUGGCGGACGGGUGAGGAAUACAUCGGAAUCUACUUUUUCGUGGGGGAUAACGUAGGGAAACUUACGCUAAUACCGCAUACGACCUACGGGUGAAAUCAGGGGAUCUUCGGACCUUGCGCGAUUGAAUGAGCCGAUGUCGGAUUAGCUAGUUGGCGGGGUAAAGGCCCACCAAGGCGACGAUCCGUAGCUGGUCUGAGAGGAUGAUCAGCCACACUGGAACUGAGACACGGUCCAGACUCCUACGGGAGGCAGCAGUGGGGAAUAUUGGACAAUGGGCGCAAGCCUGAUCCAGCCAUACCGCGUGGGUGAAGAAGGCCUUCGGGUUGUAAAGCCCUUUUGUUGGGAAAGAAAAGCAGCAGGUUAAUACCCCGCUGUUCUGACGGUACCCAAAGAAUAAGCACCGGCUAACUUCGUG
rnacentral:rRNA from 1 species